rnacentral:SRP_RNA from 1 species
GCCGGGCCUCGUGGCGGGUGUCUGGGAUCCCAGCGCUCGGGGAGGCUGAGGCCGGCAGAUCGCUUGAGCUCAGGGCUGCAGGGGGCUGUGCCGAGCGGGUGUCCGCACUGAGGGCGACAUCGACAUGGGGGUCCCUAGGGAGCCGGGGGUCCCCAGGUUGCCUAAGGAGGGGCAAACUGGCCCAGGUCGGGAACAGAGCAGGUCAAAGCUCCCGUGCCGCUCAGUAGUGGGAUGGCGCCUGUGAACAGCCCCUGCAGCGCAGCCUGGGCGAGACAGGGAGACCCGGCCU